rfam:Daphnia pulex DAPPTscaffold_319_Cont8661, whole genome shotgun sequence.
UCCUCGGUAGUAUAAUGGUAAGUAUCCCCGCCUGUCACGGGGGAGACCGGGGUUCAAUUCCCUGCCGGGGAG